rnacentral:rRNA from 1 species
GAUCCUGGCUCAGGAUGAACGCUAGCGGCAGGCUUAACACAUGCAAGUCGAGGGGCAGCGUGGGGCAGCAAUGCUCCGACGGCGACCGGCGGAAGGGUGCGUAACACGUGAGCGACUUGCCCGUCACAGGGGGGAUAACCGGCGGAAACGGCGACUAAUACCCCAUAUGAUGUGAUGCUGCAUGGCAUCGCAUUGAAAGAUUCAUCGGUGGCGGAUAGGCUCGCGGG